GUCUAGCCCUGAUUGCAAUGGAAAGCUUUUUGUAAAAGAAAACUAGUUUUUUGUUUCUAAAAAAAAAGCGACCAACGGAAGCUCUUUUUUUUGAUUACAAAAACAGUUUUCUUUGCAAAAACUUGUAAUGAAAAGCAGGGUUAGCU
rnacentral:sRNA from 1 species